UAUAGUCGAUCUAUCUGCUCAACAUACCCUAAUUGUUAUGAACAGUUAUCAACUACGUAUUACGGAGAUUAAUGAAAAUAAAUAUCCCACUAACUCCACGAUUAUGGCUCGAUAAUCUAGCACCAUAACAAGUGGGACCAUGUGCUCGACGGUUACAUCAGAUCAUCUAUGAAAGGAGAGGUAAACAAGUAGCACGGGUAAGGCAAUUCUAGGCCAAGACUUUGUCACUUUCAAUAUUCUUAGCUGUUCACAAACUUCUUCUCUGACUUAA
rnacentral:lncRNA from 1 species